GCUGGGCAUGGUGGCGCGUGCCUGUAGUCCCAGCUACUCGGGAGGCUGAGGUGGGAGGAUCGCUUGAGCCCAGGAGUUCUGGGCUGUAGUGCGCUAUGCCGAUCGGGUGUCCGCACUAAGUUCAGCAUCAAUAUGGUGACCUCCCGGGAGCGGGGGACCACCAGGUGGCCUAAGGAGGGGUGAACCGGCCCAGGUCGGAAAUGGAGCAGGUCAAAACUCCUGUGCUGAUCAGUAGUGGGAUCGCGCCUGUGAAUAGCCACUGCACUCCAGCCUGGGCAACACAGUGAGACCCUGUCUCA
rnacentral:SRP_RNA from 1 species